AUUGAACGCUGGCGACAGGCCUAACACAUGCAAGUCGAGCGGAUGAAGGGAGCUUGCUCCUGGAUUCAGCGGCGGACGGGUGAGUAAUGCCUAGGAAUCUGCCUGGUAGUGGGGGAUAACGUCCGGAAACGGGCGCUAAUACCGCAUACGUCCUGAGGGAGAAAGUGGGGGAUCUUCGGACCUCACGCUAUCAGAUGAGCCUAGGUCGGAUUAGCUAGUUGGUGGGGUAAAGGCCUACCAAGGCGACGAUCCGUAACUGGUCUGAGAGGAUGAUCAGUCACACUGGAACUGAGACACGGUCCAGACUCCUACGGGAGGCAGCAGUGGGGAAUAUUGGACAAUAGGCGAAAGCCUGAUCCAGCCAUGCCGCGUGUGUGAAGAAGGUCUUCGGAUUGUAAAGCACUUUAAGUUGGGAGGAAGGGCAGUAAGUUAAUACCUUGCUGUUUUGACGUUACCAACAGAAUAAGCACCGGCUAACUUCGUG
rnacentral:rRNA from 1 species